GCGAUGCUUUAGAGAUAAAGCGGAGGUAUUCGGGGAGACAGGUGGUGCAUGGUUGUCGUCAGCUCGUGUCGUGAGAUGUUGGGUUAAGUCCCGCAACGAGCGCAACCCCUAUUGCUAGUUACCAUCAUUAAGUUGGGGACUCUAGCGAGACUGCCAGUGAUAAACUGGAGGAAGGUGGGGAUGACGUCAAAUCAUCAUGCCCCUUAUGACCUGGGCUACAAACGUGAUACAAUGGCUGGAACAAAGGGAUGCGAAGCAGUGAUGUGGAGCGAAACCCAUAAAAACAGUCUCAGUUCGGAUUGAAGUCUGCAACUCGACUUCAUGAAGUCGGAAUCGCUAGUAAUCGCGGAUCAGAACGCCGCGGUGAAUACGUUCUCGGGGUUU
rnacentral:rRNA from 1 species